CAAAAUUUUAUACAGGUGGACCAGGAUACAUAUUGCAACAACGUGGUGAGUUUCUUAUAAAAAUAUUAGCCGCUGUCCUCUAUAGAAACAAACAAUAAUAAAGAAGAAAAUUGGCUUUGGUUCUCUGAGGAAACCUUUCUAACAUAUGGAAAAUGAUUGGAUUCAAACUGAAGAAUGUGAACAUGUGGCACUACGGAGCAGUGAGUAUUGAUUCUAACUACUUAGCAGUAUGUACAAGAGAGUCCAUCCUGCACUUCUAAGCUUUGUCUACUUCGCC
rnacentral:lncRNA from 1 species